rnacentral:rRNA from 1 species
GGUUGGGAUCAUACCAGCACUAAUGCACCGGAUCCCAUUAGAACUUCGCUGUUAAGCGUGCUUGGGCGAGAGUAGUACUAGGAUGGGUGACCCCCUGGGAAGUCCUCGUGUUGCAACCCC